rnacentral:lncRNA from 1 species
GAAACCUAGUCGGGCAGGGAUAUUCUCACCACUUUACAGACGCAGCCAUGGUUUUUAUACUGGAAUUUUGGUAGCUCCCUCGCGUGUUCCUUUUUUUAUGAGUGCACCUUAUCUUGUUGUACGUUCCUGCUUGUGGGAGGUUCUUGUCAUAUAUUUCAGGGCUCGUGAUUUGUUAAAGGAUGGUUUCGUGUUCUGCACAAAGCAAUUGCAGCUUGGCACUGCUUUCCCAAAUUGGUUUAGUGGCGUGUUCAUUUAUGGUGUUCUUCAGACUAGUUCAAUUCUUAUUUGCAAUGUUCUUCAAACUAGUACCAUCCUUAUUACAAUGUUCAUUGAACUGGUUGCCAUCUCCCUGUUAUCAUGUUGGUAUGUGAAACUAGUUGUGACAAGUAGCCAGGCCACCACUGCUUUAUAAUUGUUUGUGCAUAACAGUUCAAGGUAAGUUUCCCUGUAAGCAACAUGUAUUGCCUGACUAGGUAGGAAGCAUCUGUUUCCUUCCUCUGUAAAAAGGUUUGACAAUUGGCUGUAAUGGCUGAAACGGAAAAAGGUAACGACUCAAACAGCAAAUGUCAUAUUUAUGUUAGAAUCUGCAGUGAUCACUGAUCAGCGUAUUUUCAUUUAUCAAUGGCAUUUAGAAACUAAUUCCCUUAGUUUUAUUAUGGGAAAGUUGCUCUUUGGUUAAAUACUAGCAAAACAUGCAAGUUAUUUUUUGUUAUAUUGCAUCAAGAAGCAUGCCCUCAGAGGCUCACAUUUAACCAUAUUGUCACUGUUUGUUCAAGAAAUGCCACUAUAAUUUCAUUAACCUAACCACCUCUUUUAUCUAAACGUUUUCUGUUAGACAAGAUGACAUUUUGUGUUCACUAGGCACCUUUUAUCUUUAUGUUUCCUCAGUAAACUUGUCUAGCAAAGAUGAACAAACAUUUAUGUUCAUGUCCUGUGUCAGUUCUUACUUUCGGUCUCUCUUCUUGAAACUGAAAGGUAGAGAUUCUCUACCUUAUAAUUUCCAACUCUACUGAAGAUGAUCAGUCAAGUCAAUGUGUCCGUGGUCUUCCUUCAAUGUCACUGCUUACGUAGCACACAUAGGAUUUCUUGUCCAGCUUCAGUUGCAUAUCUUAUAGGAUACAUUGAUCUGUUCUUUUCUGACAAAGUAAAUGUUGUAAGUAGCCUGGUUGAAAAUUCUACUGCAAUUUAUGAUGUCUAAGAAGGCCAUGGAACGAAGUAAAACUACUUACUGUUGAUAAGAAUAUAGUUUUUUUAGUUUCUUGUUACAUAAUCUGGUAUCAAUUGGUUAUUUUUCAAAAUGAAAGGCAAAUCAAUUCUCCAUCUGUGCAGGGGUUAAGGCCUUAGGUUCUGGGUAUCAUCGAUUGAGACUGAGCUGUU